rnacentral:snRNA from 1 species
GUGCUUGCUUUGGCAGCACACAUUAAACAAUGGAAUGAUAGAUUCCCUGGCCCCUGCGCAAAGGUGACAGCCAAAUUCAUGAUGGGUUCCAUAUUUAA